CCUGUUGCCUCUAGCCAGAAGCCUCUCUUUGUGGGCAGAGUGAGUCUUGUUUCUUGUCAUUCACCACAACAGUUGUGCAAAAUCAACGCCAGCACCAGGGCCUCACAUCUCUCACCUGGUGGGAAUCUUUAAAUCUGCUCCACAUCCCUGCUGUUUUAACCUGGUCAGAAAAAAACCAAGGGGUUUUGUGCCACAUGAUUUGAGGACUGAAGGACAGAUGAAGAAUGUGCUAGUCAAAAUUUCAGCGCUUCAUAGCGAGGUAACGUCAUCUGCGUGGCUCUGUAGAGAUCCCAGGUUCACCAGCAGGUCUCACAGGCGCCGUAAUGAAGUAGAAGGCAGCUUGGGAAAACCACGGGUUGUAACAGUGUGGUGCCUUAUAAAGGAAGAAGCAGUACCAAGGUCACUCAUCAGAGUAAUAUCUUCAAAAAUGAGCUAUACCAUGAAAGGACUGCUAAAACUGAUGUAGCAAUGAACUCUGUGGUAUUUGCUAGCCCACAGUUCCUGUCUUAUUUGUACAUUUCAAAAAACUAAAUGGAGGAAAUUAUAAGAAAGACAGAAAUGCAUAACCCUAUUUCAUCUGAAACACUUCAAGUGCACAAAUUUCUGGAGCAACUUAACCUUCAAAUUUGAGUGAACGGAUCCUUGGAUAAUUGAGUGGGUUGUAAGACUGGUUUUCUUCUGUUUGUUCUGUUUUGCUAUGUUUCUGCUGUAAGGUACAAUGACCAAGCACACUUAAUAGAUAUCCACAUUACUUGAGAUGCAAUCGACUUCACAGCUAUUCAUACAGUUUGCUAUCAUAACUUAAAUAAACAUGGCCAUGUCUUCA
rnacentral:lncRNA from 1 species